rnacentral:lncRNA from 1 species
UAUUGAGCUAGUGAAAUAAAGCCUGAACAAUAAAAAGCAAGAAUAGUGUUACAUGGAUCAAACAUAGAGAAUUGCUUCCUGAGACAGGAUUGCCGUUCGCCCACGUUGUUUUGCCACGAAGAGAUCUCUUUUCUCUUCUUCCUUCCUCUUUGUCUAGUAUAUUAUCUCUUGGCACACGUACGCUAAAUGUCAGCCCGGCCUUCUUUACGGUUUCAUGUCAAGGUAUGAAAGCACCUUAGGUAUAUCUCAACCAUAUAUGCCUUCGUGUACUUUGAAUAUUAAUGCUCUACUAUCUACGGGGUGGUCCGAACUCGUGAGGACCAGGGACUUGGUAUAGAGUAUGCCAACAUUGGUCUCACGGUGGCAUCGUCACGACGAUGUGGGAGCUCGUAGCAAACCAAGAAUGAGACACAGACGUAGUCGAGGACAUCGAGACAACCUUUUCUGGUUGCAUCAAGUGGACUGACACGUCCGGAUUUACUGUUUUCCGGUUUUGGAGUUGGGGACCUUGACCUUUGUUUACUAUCAAGGUCGUUUACUUGACGAACUGGACUUCCCUUAGUCUGAGGGGUGGGACUACGUGAUCGGUUUCCUCCACGUGUCAGAUCUUCUCCAAGAUGCUGUCGUGCUGCGUGAUGUGGUGUCGGUGAACGAGAUCGGUUGUUUGAUACGCUUCUGGGUGUCUGUAAAGAGUGAGGUUGUUGCUGUGUCGUGCCAGCUCCUGAACCCACGCUUGAUGCGGAACUCCUGCGUGUUCUCGGAGUCAUCUAUUUUUAUUACAACUUACCUUUCGUAAUGCACCUGCGCACUUCCAAGGUCAAAGGAUCCACCGGCUUUUUGAAUGAGUUUAGCAGAAAUCAUUGAUCGGUGGGCUGAAAAUGAGUUUAUUAUUCAAUCAAAAAAUUAUUUUCUCCUGCAUCAGACUAGUUGGUGAUUAAUUAUCAUAUGUGAUAUUGCAAAAUCAACUUACAAGUACGGCAGCGACAUGGAUCAUGCUUGUCAAGGUAAUGGCUGAGAGUGUCCCAACCACCACCCACUCGUACCAUAACAUGGCUUCUCAAAAUUCUGACGAAGAUGAGGACUUUCGUGUCACCAAUUCUAUAUUUGCCUUCGGAUACUCGAAUCAUUGGAAACUGGGUCGGACAAGUGCAUUUUUCCACUAAAUCACGAACCUGAAAAUGAGAAAAAAAAAUUCAUAUAAACUUUUCAUCACAAGUUUUUCAAGCAGGCUUCAUAUGUUAACAUAAUGCUGAUGUUUUUGAAGGUAUUGAUGUGCGGAACACGACGUAAGGCGCAUCGAUGUGGACAAAUUGUGUGGCGCAUUGCAGAAACUGUAAUGACACAAGUAAACACUGGAGUAGGUGACUUGUUGAAACCGCUGUAUCUAAGUAGUGUAUGGGUUAAUGUUAUACUUGAAUACAUGCACGGAGUUCUCAAGACUUGUCGGUGCUGCAUCAUUAUGUACUUCAACAUGUACAUGGCCGGGUGCGGUACAUGAAGCAGCGCAUAAAUAUCUUAUACGGCCAAGGCACGCGCUGGGGUCACGCAACAAGGAUCUGAAGAGGUGGACAUUCA